CUUGGAUUAACACAUGAAGUAGAAGGUGUUGUCAGAUUUCCUCAGCUCUCUAAAUUGUGCAUACAACGAUGUCCCAAAUUGGUCAAGAUACCGAUUCCCUCACUGCCAUCCCUUUGUGAAUUGAGCAUUGGAGGGAUGGAUCGAGUAAAAGUGAUAGGAGCUGAAUUUUAUGGAGAUAAGGGCCCUUUUCCAGCGCUAGAGAGGCUGACUAUUGAGGACAUGCCAAAUUGGGAGGAAUGGCUUGGAUUAACACAUGAAGUAGAAGGUGUUAUCAGAUUUCCUCAGCUCUCUAAAUUGUGCAUACGAAAAUGUCCAAAAUUGGUCAAGUUACCAAUUCUCUCAUUGCCAUCCCUUCGUGAACUAAAAGUGAAAGCGUGUAAUGAGGUGGUGCUAAGUCACAUGCACAAUUUGGAAUCUUUAACCCAAUUAAAUUUGGAGAAAAUUUUCAGAUUGACUUCAGUUUCAAAAGCAUUUAUGCAGUUUCCUUUUGCACUUGAAAAUUUGGAAGUUUGUGAUUGUAACGACCUUGAGACUCUAUGGCCAAGUGAUCGUAUUGCUCAAAGCCUAGUCAACCUACGACGGCUGUCUGUUAACACGUGUCCUAAGCUCUUGACCCUUAGAGACAUUGAUGCUCUUCCAGUUCUUAGAGACCUUCGCAUACUGAAAUGUGAAUCUCUAGAGUUUGUUCCCAAUAGCAUAUCUUGUCUAAAAAGUUUAGAAAUCAGGAAUUGUUCCUCAUUGAAGACCAUGAUGAAGCUACAGGAUUGCAACACCUCACUUGAAUUUCUUUCGGUCGAAAUGAGGGUGAAUUUUAAUUUGACAAAUUUACUGGGAUCAGUUCACAAUUACACAAGUCUCCAUCGGCUACAUAUAUAUUUCUGUGAUGGUCUGGAGUCGUUUCCCCCUGGAGGCUUGCCCACUCCCAAUUUGAAAUGUCUUUUUACACAUGAUUGUCAACAAUUGAAGUCCUUACCGGAUCGGAUGGAACUAAUUUCAUCACUUGAAAGCUUGUUAGUAACGCGUUGUCCUUUAUUAGUAGAGCCCUUUCCCCAAAGGAAAUUUCCUCCAAAUCUGACGGAUCUUUCAUUCUGUAAUUGUGGGAAUCUAAAACCCCUGGGGGAGUGGGGCUUACACAAAAUCACCUCUCUUGAAAUAUUCCAAUUGAGUCUUUGCUAUCAAGAGCUGAUUUCCUUCUCUAAUGACGACAAUGAUGAUGAUAACAACCAUUUGCUUCCUCCAUCUAUAAGGAAAUUGAACUUGUUUGACUUUCCCAAUCUAGAAAGUCUAACAAAGGGCUUCCAAAACCUCACAUCACUUCGGCAUUUAUGGAUCUCCAGAUGUCCAAAACUUGUGGCGUUGCCUAUGGAAGACCAGCUCGACAGGCUUUGGAGUCUUCAUAUUGAUAAGUGCCCGCUUCUUAAAAAACGGUGUUUGAAGAACGAAGGAGACUACUGGAAAAUCAUCGCUGACAUUCCCGACAUUGAAAUUGAUUAGCGUUCCGUCCAUGAUCCAGAUCAAUGAUCAUGAAACCCU
rnacentral:lncRNA from 1 species